AUUUCUUCAGUAGCUUAUUAUUCACAAACAUUUCAAGAGGUCGAAACAUAAACAGCGUUACAAAAUGCUUCUUCCCGGUGUACCCUUCUCGCGAUAUUCUCCGGCGAACCACCAUCACCAGCAACCACCACUCAUCACCAACACCCUCAAAAAACCCAUCGCUCUACCAAUGCCCACCAUAACAUUUCACGGAGUAGGCACCAGCAUCUUCAUGGCGACGGCAGCAGCGGCGGUAGUGAUAUUAUCGAGCACGACGUCGGCAAUCGCAAUUGAACCAAGAAACCCACCGCCGGAUGCCGCUGAAACCCUUUCAAACAUUCCGCAGAUGUUGUCCGGCGAUUGUGUUCAGGGAAAAGAUGGCGAUUGCAAAAAGGCUAGAAUUCAAAAACCCAAAUCGAGGCAAGCGGAAUCGUGCACGAUUAAGUGUGUGACGACUUGCAUACGCGGCGGAGAUGGGUCGCCCGGCGAAGGACCGUUUAAUGUUCGGAGGCCGCUGGUUGUUUUCAAACAAGGGUUUCGGAGUCGCCAUUAUUGUUUGGUGGAGUGCUCCGAUAUCUGUAAUUUGAUUCGAGAUGGAGACGAUGGACCUUAAAUUUAUAGAGAUUAGUUGAUAUAUAUACAAACGGAAGAUUAUCUGCACCAGCGACGCCAUUAACGAUCUGUUGGUGUUUUAAUUUCUUCAUUCAAUUAGCAGUCAUAACCUUAUCUGAAUUUAUGAUAUCCACAAAGUUGAUGAUCCAGAUUCUGAAAAAUCGAAGAGAUUAUGAUGCUGAUAUUGAAAAUCGAAGGUAGGUAAUGAUUAUUCGUUUUCAAGAACAUGGUUAAUUCAUUGUGUUACAUUUUUAGAGGCAUUCCUUUUGUUUUUGAUUGUUUCCUGGAUACCUUUCUACACACCAAAAGAAAAAAAUAUAUAUAAUGCAUCUUUUUGAUUUUA